AGAGAGAGACAUGCGCGCAUAUCAAUAAGCGGAGGAAAAGAAACUAACAAGGAUUCCCUUAGUAACGGCGAGUGAAGCGGGAAGAGCUCAAAUUUGAAAUCUUCAAGGUUUUACCUUGACGAAUUGUAGUUUAAAGAAGUGUUUUCUGCUGGAGUUUUGGUAAAAGUUCUUUGGAAUAGGACAUCAUAGAGGGUGAGAAUCCCGUAUUUGACCAUUAUUUUCAGCUUUGUGAUACACUUUCAAAGAGUCGGAUUGUUUGGGAAUAGCAGUCCAAAAUGGGUGGUAAAUUUCAUCUAAAGCUAAAUAUUGGCGAGAGACCGAUAGCGAACAAGUACCGUGAGGGAAAGAUGAAAAGAACUUUGAAAAGAGAGUUAAACAGUACGUGAAAUUGUCAAAAGGGAAGCGUUUGACACCAGUGUUGUUUUCUCGAAAAUCAAUUAAAAAUGGCUCGAUUUUGUAUUGCUUGAGACCUUAAAAGCUCACUGUACAUUUUUCGUGUCUUUUUUAAUGCACUUUUCGUUUAACAAGUCAACAUCAGUUUCUUUUGUUGUAAAAGGGUCAUUGGAAGGUGGCUUUCUUUUCGGAGAAAGUGUUUAUAGCCUUUGGCCUCUGCAAUCGGAGAGACUGAGGUCUGCAGCGUAGACUCUUCGGGGUUAGAUACAUUUGUGCUAAGUUAUAGCUUUUUAUAGACAACUUGUUGACUAUAAUUAGUCUUGUAGCUUACUCGCUUAUGCUAUUUUACCUACGCUUAGGAUGUUGAAGAUGUAGCACAUCAU
rnacentral:rRNA from 1 species